CGGGGCUGCCCGGCCCGGCCCUACCCGGUCCCGCUGCGCUGCCCGGGGCCCCGAGGCCGCUUCCCGGCGCGGCUCCCCUCGAGCGCCGCGGCUCGGCUCGGCUCCUGCCCGUCGGGGCGGCCGGGGCCGGGCUCUCCCGUGCCGGAGGGACACUCACCACCACGAGGAGUCGGCGCGGGGCGGCAGGGCGAGCAGGAUGAGGACGAAGGGCAGAUAACCUGGAAAGCUCCUGGGGGGUGGGGUGGGAUGGGGGGGUGGGUGACUCUGAAUUGGAACAGAAACAGGUUUUGAAAUGUUUUGCAAAGCCAGAAUUUCAUCUUGGCUGCCAAGUGGUAAGUGGCCAAGGAAAAAAAAAACUAUCAGGUAUGUCUCUAGCAUUGUUUCUAAAUGAUUUUUUCUUGUGAUUAAUAAAAAAGGGAAAUAGGGCCAAAUCCUGCACAUACUUUGUAGUGCUUGCACAAACACGCUGGUCAGGUUUGGGCUGGUAGGAUCAGAUGUAAUUAGCUGCCUCGCACCUAAGGAUAUGGGCUCUCGCUGUCAGUGCAAGUGAGGAUUUGUUUCCUUUUCCUCAGGAAUAUGAGCAGUGUCCAAGUAUUAAGAAUAAUCAUUUCAUUAAUGUAGGGGGAAUUUUUUAUCCUGUGCAGCUGAUAGCAGCAGUGGAUGCAGCAGAGCUGUGGAUGUGGUGUGGUUUGGUACACACCAGUGAAGGCAAUUCCCUACUUUUGUUAACCUGGAGUUGGUGCUCACUCCUUCUGGGGCUCUGAAACCUGGAUUCAAGUUAGCCCUGGUGUCCGUGAGGAAUCUGAUGAGUUUCACCUUGCCCAAAGGUACAGAUCUCCUUGUGCUUCGAGCUGCCAUCACCAUCACAGACACGAGGGCUGAUCCAGCAGAGGGCAAAGGGCCCAGUGUUGUGCUGCGAGGCUGGAGCUGCUCGGGAUGUUUUGCAGGAGGAUAUAGAUCAAGAUGAACUAACCCUCUGUGAACUGCGGAGGCAUUGACAUCGUUGCAGCCAAAUGGUGCUCCUGGGAGGAUUUGGGGAGAGCUGCUCUGGGCAAG